ACCUGCGGAAGGAUCAUUGUCGUGACCCUAACCAAAAGAGACUGUGAAUGUGUCAUCCAUGCUGUCAGGCGACGGUUCUUGCACCGUCUCUCGGCAUAGACCCUUGUCCUUCUUGUGGAGGGGAGGGUCCCAACAGAACCCACGGCGCCGGAUGGCGUCAAGGAAUACUAAUGUUGCUAGCUCGGGGUUGCGGCCGGCCUGCUGGACGAGCCCUGUGCUGCGAUGCUACCUGAAUCCAUAAGACUCUCGGCAACGGAUAUCUUGGCUCUCGCAUCGAUGAAGAACGUAGCAAAAUGCGAUACCUGGUGUGAAUUGCAGAAUCCCGUGAACCAUCGAGUUUUUGAACGCAAGUUGCGCCCGAGGCCUCCUGGUYGAGGGCACGUCUGCCUGGGCGUCACGCCAAAAGACACUCCCCUGCCAUCUUGGUGCUGGAUGUGGCGUCUGGUCUUCCAUGCCACUAGAAAGGUGUGGUAGGCUGAAGUAAGAGGCUGCUGGCUAUGGUGCCGGUCACAGCACUUGGUGGACAACAUCGGUUGUUCUCGGAGUUGUGACUUGUACUGGUUUCGGCGACACUGGCCCUUAGGACCCAUGGAUCGAGCAUCGAUUGCUCGCACCGCGACCCCAGGUCAGUCGGGAUUACCCGCUGAAUUUAAGCAUAUCAAUAAG
rnacentral:rRNA from 1 species